UAGUUUUAUUUCUGUACCCACUAGCACCUUGGUUAAAGACACUUGGUGAGUACUUGUGAAUACACCCAUAUGUUAAUACAUAUAUUGUGGAAUAGUACAUUCGUACAAAUUUAAGAACAGAUCGUCAUUUAAAUUACAUGUACUUUUCCUCAAUCAAGUUGCUGCAUGUCAGUACAUUUUCAAUUUACAUCGUUUCACUGGUUAUUUUCUAAAUUAACCGAUGAACUGCUAAAUGUCCAAAUUUAUAUAUACACCUGAAGAAGGUUCCACAUCCGAAACAUGGUGUCUCUUUCAGCACCUUUACCAGACAUUCUUUUUACCUAUGUUGGCCAGCUCUUCAAAUUGACAUAUAUGUAUGUAGUUAAACAUAUUUGUAUAUAUAUAUUGCCCAAUCAAAGAUCUUAUGGUUAUCUGUGACACUAAAUGAAACUAACUACUGUUGUGUUGUUCACCAGCAGAGUAUCUCUUUGAAAAACAUUGUUUAUACCCCUGUUCAUAUUGGAAGUCUGAACUUCUCCAAAUGACCUAAUUGUGCCCUUUACUGCACACCAUCCUGCUUAUGUGUAAACUUGUCACUGUCUAGUCCGCUGUGCUUGAGCCUGUAUCUGGUCAUUGCAGUGUUCAGCUCAGCGGGCGGUGGCCCAGUGUCGACUAUCAAUCCUCUGCUGGACCAGCUGCCCAGCUACCAGUCCCUGCUGUACCGGAGGAAGCCCUCCGCAGUGGGUACUGGGCGCAGGCGUAGCAGCUCCCGCCAGCGCAUGGGAUCGACGUCCAGCGGCAGGUGGGCUGGCAGCACGGUGGAGAGGCCGAGAAGCCCUGACCCUCAGCGCCCCGUCCGCCAGCUGGCCCGAAGCAUGGCGGAGAAACGGAGAGCCAGGGAACAACAUAUUGAACAGCGCAAAGAUCUGAACCGGUGGCAGCAGUGGCGCCUGAGCGUGCGGCGAUCCUGGAGAAGGUUCAGAGAGGACAGCCAGGAGGUUCUGUCAGCGCUGGUGCUGUGGAGAGGCGACAUUCAUGCCAUAGAGGGUAGGAGGCUAAAGCUCUCGGAUAUGUUCUUAUGGAACGGUCUGCUAGUGUAUGACUUACUGUUGCAUUCCACACUACUGUAACAUGUUGAGCACAGUCCAAAUCCAUCAUAAGAGUUAAUUUAUUUUCUGAACAAGUGUUUAUAUUCCUUCUCCUGCUCAACUUUCACCAGACAUUU
rnacentral:lncRNA from 1 species